rnacentral:lncRNA from 1 species
UAUGAUUUCGUUACAUCUUGAAAGAUCGACAAACAGUUUUCUGGCGAAGUGAAGGCUUUACAGGAGAUCACAUUCACAGUACAGGGUGGUUUAUCGAUUUCCAGCAACAAGAGAAAAAAAUGGAGGCGCUGGCAUGCUCUGGCAGUGGCGUCAGUGCCAGUGUUUUCUAGAUAAAUUUGGUGAGUAGACAUGAAAUCAUGGUCGGAUCAAGCAACGGCAGUGACAUAAAAACCUGAUUUUUCCAGAAGUUCGACUUUGCGAACGGUGUCGGCGGUAGUCGCGUGUCUGCGCGAAGACGACAGCAGGUCACCGGUGACGUUGAGUCGCAUUACGACGGUAAUUGAAUGGAGUCCCGGAAAAACUGUGAUGGCGGUGUUUCCGGUGUGUGGACGACGUGUGGUGGCAUACGGUGUCACGGUGAUACGGAGACCGUGACGGUUAGUAGUUCGGUUGUGUUGUGGUAGUGACGGGCGGUGCUUUUGUUGUGGCGGGCCGGUAACG